UACGUAGGGUGCAAGCGUUAAUCGGAAUUACUGGGCGUAAAGCGUGCGCAGGCGGCUUUGCAAGACAGAUGUGAAAUCCCCGGGCUUAACCUGGGAACUGCAUUUGUGACUGCAUGGCUCGAGUGCGGCAGAGGGGGAUGGAAUUCCGCGUGUAGCAGUGAAAUGCGUAGAUAUGCGGAGGAACACCGAUGGCCGAAGGCAAUCCCCGUGGACCUGUACU
rnacentral:rRNA from 1 species